GACGAACGCGGCGGCGUGCUUAACACAUGCAAGUCGAACGCUGAUGGCCCAGCUUGCUGGGUUGGAUGAGUGGCGAACGGGUGAGUAACACGUGAGUAACCUGCCCUCUUCUUUGGGAUAACGGUCGGAAACGGCUGCUAAUACCGGGUAUUCACUGUCCUUCGCAUGGGGGGUGGUGGAAAGGUUUUUUCUGGUGGGGGAUGGGCUCGCGGCCUAUCAGCUUGUUGGUGGGGUGAUGGCUUACCAAGGCUUUGACGGGUAACCGGCCUGAGAGGGUGACCGGUCACAUUGGGACUGAGAUACGGCCCAGACUCCUACGGGAGGCAGCAGUGGGGAAUAUUGCACAAUGGGCGAAAGCCUGAUGCAGCGACGCCGCGUGAGGGAUGAGGGCCUUCGGGUUGUAAACCUCUUUCGCUCAUGGUCAAGCCGCAACAGUGGUUGUGGUGAGGGUAGUGGGUAAAGAAGCACCGGCUAACUACGUGCCAGCAGCCGCGGUAAUACGUAGGGUGCGAGCGUUGUCCGGAAUUAUUGGGCGUAAAGGGCUUGUAGGCGGUUUGUCGCGUCUGCCGUGAAAUCCUCUGGCUUAACUGGGGGCGUGCGGUGGGUACGGGCAGGCUUGAGUGCGGUAGGGGAGACUGGAACUCCUGGUGUAGCGGUGGAAUGCGCAGAUAUCAGGAAGAACACCGGUGGCGAAGGCGGGUCUCUGGGCCGUUACUGACGCUGAGGAGCGAAAGCGUGGGGAGCGAACAGG
rnacentral:rRNA from 1 species